CUGGGAAAAUCUUUAUGCGUUGUCAAUACGAUUUAAGAAAGCCUUCACAGAUACUGAGUAUUUCCAAAACUCAACAGUGAAGUGCGGAAAUGAAACAAACGUCUUCUAGCAAGCCACUGAAUUGCUCCCAAGUAAUUGAUGGCGGUGAAUGUGUCCAGGUCCCGGAGGAUGUUCUGUGAUAUUCCUUUCAUUUCACUGAAGGAGCAAAUGGAAAAGGCAAAGCGCAGGCAGAACAAGCGACCUACCCUACAAAUCAGUGGGAGUAGAACAGAGGCCUCUGGGCUCCCAGGUUGGUGGUUAUCCAGGAAGACCAACACUCCUCAAAUGUACAGCAUUGGUCCUGGAACGCAAUCACUGUGACAGAACUGUGAGCAGACCAGCACAGAUAGGUUCUGACAGGUUAUUUCCCAAGGUAACGCCUGACUGUCUCUGUCCUCAAGGUACUCCUCUUCGUAAAUGAAGAGUUAUUGCCUAAGCUGCACUGCAGGUCUGGUGCUCCCAGGAAGGAGCAGGCCGAUGGGAUGGGAUGGGAUGGGAAGAUGGAGAAGGGACUGAAGGUGCAGGGGGUGGGGGUGGGGCACGAGAAAAUCUCCCUUUCCUGCUUCCUUCCUCAUAUCCACGCUUAGCCACCAGAGGCUGAAGACAAGAUGGGGCAGGGACGCUGCAGCUUCAUAGCCGGGAACAGCUAUAUUAAACCAAAGGGAUUUUAGAGUUAGCUGCCAUAAAAUGAAGAGGGUAUAUGGAAUUGACCCUGACGAUGCCCUCAAAGCCAUCUGUGUUUCUGCAGUGAAUCUGCUCUGCGUAAGCCAUACUGCUGUCCUGUCAUGACUUCCUUUUCGUUUUGUACAAGAUGUCAGAUCAACACUACCCCAGUUUUAUAUGAGAACUAUUUAACCAGCAGUUGUUACAACUAAAAGAGAACCAAAUGUUGUAACUGUAAGAGGGAACCAAACGCUGUCUUCAAUAAAAAAUCUACCUUCAGUUA